rnacentral:rRNA from 1 species
UACAGAGGAGCCAAGCGUUGUCCGGAUUGACUGGGCGUAAAGCGCACGCAGGCGGAUGCGCGCGUGGGGUGUGAAAUCUGGCCGCUUAACGGCCAGGCGCCAUCCCAUACGGCGCGUCUGGAGUGAUGCAGAGGUCGAUGGAAUUGCCGGUGUAGUGGUGAAAUGCGUAGAGAUCGGCAGGAACCCCCCGGGGGGAAACCAGUCGACUGGGCAUCUACUGACGCUGAGGUGCGAGAGCGUGGGGAGCGAACCGG